rnacentral:rRNA from 1 species
AAUCUGCCCUUCACUCUGGGACAAGCCCUGGAAACGGGGUCUAAUACCGGAUAACACUCUGUCCCGCAUGGGACGGGGUUAAAAGCUCCGGCGGUGAAGGAUGAGCCCGCGGCCUAUCAGCUUGUUGGUGGGGUAAUGGCCUACCAAGGCGACGACGGGUAGCCGGCCUGAGAGGGCGACCGGCCACACUGGGACUGAGACACGGCCCAGACUCCUACGGGAGGCAGCAGUGGGGAAUAUUGCACAAUGGGCGAAAGCCUGAUGCAGCGACGCCGCGUGAGGGAUGACGGCCUUCGGGUUGUAAACCUCUUUCAGCAGGGAAGAAGCGAAAGUGACGGUACCUGCAGAAGAAGCGCCGGCUAACUACGUGCCAGCAGCCGCGGUAAUACGUAGGGCGCAAGCGUUGUCCGGAAUUAUUGGGCGUAAAGAGCUCGUAGGCGGCUUGUCACGUCGGAUGUGAAAGCCCGGGGCUUAACCCCGGGUCUGCAUUCGAUACGGGCUAGCUAGAGUGUGGUAGGGGAGAUCGGAAUUCCUGGUGUAGCGGUGAAAUGCGCAGAUAUCAGGAGGAACACCGGUGGCGAAGGCGGAUCUCUGGGCCAUUACUGACGCUGAGGAGCGAAAGCGUGGGGAGCGAACAGGAUUAGAUACCCUGGUAGUCCACGCCGUAAACGUUGGGAACUAGGUGUUGGCGA